UUACCAGGUCUUGACAUCCCUUGACAACUCCAGAGAUGGAGCGUUCCCUUCGGGGACAAGGUGACAGGUGGUGCAUGGUUGUCGUCAGCUCGUGUCGUGAGAUGUUGGGUUAAGUCCCGNAACGAGCGCAACCCUUAUUACUAGUUGCCAGCAUUUAGUUGGGCACUCUAGUGAGACUGCCGGUGACAAACCGGAGGAAGGUGGGGAUGACGUCAAAUCAUCAUGCCCCUUAUGACCUGGGCUACACACGUGCUACAAUGGCGUAUACAACGAGUUGCCAACCCGCGAGGGUGAGCUAAUCUCUUAAAGUACGUCUCAGUUCGGAUUGUAGGCUGCAACUCGCCUACAUGAAGUCGGAAUCGCUAGUAAUCGCGGAUCAGCACGCCGCGGUGAAUACGUUCCCGGGUCUUGUACACACCGCCCGUCACACCAUGAGAGUUUGUAACACCCAAAGCCGGUGGGGUAACCUUUUAGGAGCCAGCCGUCUAAGGUGGGACAGAUGAUUAGGGUGAAGUCGUAACAAGGUAGGCGUAGCGAG
rnacentral:rRNA from 1 species